AUUGAACGCUGGCGGCAUGCCUUACACAUGCAAGUCGAACGGUAACAGGUUAAGCUGUCGCGUUGCGGAGGGGCGAGUAAUGUAUCGGUACGUGCCCAGUCGUGGGGUAUAAUUUCUCGAAAGAGCAGCUAAUACCACAUACGACCUUAGCGUGUACGCGCUGGAUCUCAAAGCCUCGCACGUUUGGAGCGGGCGAUAUCAGAUUAGGCAGUUGGGGAGGUAAAGGCUCACCAAGGCGACGAUCUGUAGCUGGUCUGAGAGGAUGACCAGCCACACUGGGACUGAGACACGGCCCAGACUCCUACGGGAGGCAGCAGUGGGGAAUUUUGGACAAUGGGCGCAAGCCUGAUCCAGCCAUGCCGCGUGCGUGAAGAAGGCCUUCGGGUUGUAAAGCGCUUUUGUCAGGAAAGAAAAGGUUCUGGCUAAUACCUGGGAGUCAUGACGGUACCCGAAGAAUAAGCACCGGCUAACUACGUG
rnacentral:rRNA from 1 species